rnacentral:rRNA from 1 species
AGGGUUUGAUCCUGGCUCAGAUUGAACGCUGGCGGUAAGCCUUAAACAUGCAAGUCGUGCGGUAACAGACAUAAAGAUUUAGCUUGCUAAAUCCGGUGCUGACGAGCGGCGAACGGGUGAGUAACACGUAGGAAUCUACCCAGUAGCGGGGGAUAGCCCAGGGAAACUUGGAUUAAUACCGCAUAAGCCCUAUGGGGGAAAGAAGGCCUCUCUUUGAAGCUUUCACUAUUGGAUGAGCCUGCGUAAGAUUAGCUUGUUGGUGGGGUAAAAGCCUACCAAGGCAACGAUCUUUAGCUGGUCUGAGAGGACGAUCAGCCACAUUGGGACUGAGACACGGCCCAGACUUCUACGGAAGGCAGCAGUUAGGAAUAUUGGACAAUGGGGGCAACCCUGAUCCAGCUAUACCGCGUGUGUGAAGAAGGCCCUAGGGUUGUAAAGCACUUUAAGCAGGGAAGAAGUAUAGUAAGUUAAUAUCUUACUAUAUUGACGUUACCUGAAGAAUAAGGACCGGCUAACUCCGUGCCAGCAGCCGCGGUAAUACGGAGGGUCCAAGCGUUAAUCGGAAUUACUGGGCGUAAAGCGCGCGUAGGCGGUUUAAUAAGUUGUAUGUGAAAGCCCUGGGCUCAACCUAGGAACUGCAUACAAAACUAUUAAGCUAGAGGACGAGAGAGGAGAGUAGA